rnacentral:rRNA from 1 species
GAUGAACGCUGGCGGCGUGCCUAAUACAUGCAAGUCGGGCGAACGGACGAGAAGCUUGCUUUUCUGAUGUUAGCGGCGGACGGGUGAGUAACACGUGGAUAACCUACCUAUAAUACUGGGAUAACUUCGGGAAACAGGAUCUAAUACCGCAGAAUAUUUUGAACCUCAUAGUUCAAAAGUGAAAGACGGUCUUGCUGUCACAUAUAGAUGGAGCCGCGCUGCAUUAGCUAGUUGUUAAGGUAACGGCUUACCAAGGCAACGAUGCAUAGCCGACCUGAGAGGGUGAUCGGCCACACUGGAACUGAGACACGGCCCAGACUCCUACGGGAGGCAGCAGUAGGGAAUCUUCCGCAAUGGGCGAAAGCCUGACGGAGCAACGCCGCGUGAGUGAUGAAGGUCUUCGGAUCGUAAAACUCUGUUAUUAGGGAAGAACAUAUGUGUAAGUAACUGUGCACAUCUUGACGGUACCUAAUCAGAAAGCCACGGCUAACUACGUG